UAUGUUUGUUUACAAAUAUUAAUUGUUGAUGAAUGGAAAUGUAAACAGACACGUCAGUUGUGUUGUGAAUCCGGAGCUUAGAGCGACAAACGAAACGAAACGAAACGAAACGAAACGAGACGAAACGAAACGAAACUUGAGCUGAAGGACGGGACAUUCUAAUUUGGAGCCUGCCCUUUAAUUGCAUCUUUAUUGCAAGUUCAUCUCUUCAUCUGUGGUUCUGCCCGGAAAAUUCGGAAGAGUCUUGCGAAUCUAUCAGUGCCACAGAGCUCUCUAUUUUCAAGAGUGGAACUUAUUUAUUUGUAUUUAAAGUAAUAAAUUAUUGUUCAGUUA
rnacentral:lncRNA from 1 species